GUCAUUAUCACAUUAGGCUUCUCAGUUCCCAGGGCCAUGAGGUGCCUGGGAGAGGGCACUGAUUCUCUAAAGCCAUAUCCUGAGUACCAGGCUUCCAGGCUAACCAGCAAGCAGAGGCUCACAGUCCAUCUGGGUUCCAGAGGCCCCCAAGGUUCCUUUUCCUCUCUCAGGGGUGUGGAAUCAGACAAGAAAGGGUUAAGUGUUUGGGGAGCAGCUGCACCUGGGGUUCCUUACCCUGCUGGGUAAACAGGUAUAAAAGGAGGAGGAAACUAGCCUGAGGGAGAAGGUGUGUGUUGGGAAGAAUAUUGGCCAUUCUAGUAGUAUUGCAAAAAUAACAAUCAAUACUAAAAUAUUAAUAAAAUGGGGGCUGUUUGUUCUAAGGCCCCAAACCUGCAGUUUUUUUUCCAGGCAAAUUAAACUCUGCUUCCUGACUCUGAGUCCUGUGUUUGGAGUGUACAUGCUGCCUCAGUGAGCUGGCAACCCCGAUUCUACAGCAUAACUUCUAGCAGGACCCUGUGUCUUGGCUUCUUCUGUGGCAGUAGGGAAUUCGAGUGCAGCUGAGGGCCAGGAGAUGCAGUGGUGAAGAGAGCCUGAAUCCCGCCUGUAGGGGGGCUGGGCGCUUUCAUGCCCCUCUUGUACAGGGGCACCCUAAGAGAUCUGCUCCACUGGGGCUGUGAGCCUCUUCCCCACUCAGGGACAGAAGGAUCCUUCGAGCUUGUGAAGUGUCCUCAAAAUACUUCAGAGGCGUUGAGGCAGCAGCUCCCUGUUAGUCACAGUUGGCAUGAGGGCUGUGUUCCAGAGCCCACUGCAGGACCUGAUGUUCCACAGAGCCAUGUGACAGGAGCUGCAAGGGCUGCCAGAACACGGUGCCCACUGCUGGGCAAGGACUGUGGGAUUGAAACUCCUCCAGCUGGCCCUACUCCUUUAGCUGUCUGCCUUGUCUAAAACUAAACAAACUUGCAGCCUGUGGAGGUGGUAGAUCAGCAUCAUUAUCCACAGGUGGGGGAAACUGAGGCAGAGGGAGAUGGUGGGUUUGUGGCAGGAUAGGGAACACAACCCUGCUCUGCUGAUAUCUAGGUGUUAAGGCAGUGCAGUGCAUGUCUACACAGCCCAUGGCAGCGAGCCCCCGAGCCUGGGUCGACGGACUAGGGCUUGUGCUAGCGUACGGGGAAAAUAGCCACGCAGACUUUGUAGCUUGGGCACUGAUGCCCCUACCUUGGCUUCAGACCUUCAGCGCCAGCCUACAUGGCCACCAUGAGCCUGAGUCUGCCAAUCUGAGCGUGGAGGCUCUGCUGCCUGCCAUGUAGACGUAACCUUCCAGAGUAGGUUGUUCCCAGAGCUGCACGUCACUGGACUGGAAGAUCUCUUUAGUAUGACAGGGAUGGGCAGCAUUAGAUUUAUAUCAUAAAGGUAAAUUUCACCCAGACAAACUGCUGGACAACAAACAUACAGCCAGGCAAAGUAAGAAAAAUGCAGCUUGAGAACUUAGGGUUGGCUUGAGGGAUACUUACUUUGUCUGUUUUGAUGUAUGAUGUUGACAGCUUGUGCUUUAAUGGUUAUGAAGCUUUACCUUUUUGAAUCUCUUUCCUCCACCCAUAACUUCCCACAGCUGUGAAAAUUUAAAUGAAAAUGGGGGGGGGGAGCUUAAUACAGUGAUUAUUAUUUGUAAAAAAAUUAAAGAAAAAAAAUCAAACCUGCUCCAGUCUAUAUAUGAUCAUGCUGGAGAUUAAACUAGGAUGAAUGGGAUGCAAUUGAACAAAGGGACUGUAAUGGAUAGGAAGAGGGCAGUACCCCUUGGAAUAACUCUAAACCUGUGAGUGGUGCUCUUUGUGUUUUGGAAGCAGCUGGCGCACCAGUCUGUACAUCGUUAGAUUGGGCAUGUUUGUAUGUAAAUGGUAAACAUGGUGACUACGUGGGAUUCAACUGUGCCCCUGUGAUUCCUUCAGGCUGUUGUGUAAAGAGCAAAAGGCCCAACAGGGAUAAUUUCAUCCGCACAGCAGGGAAGACUCCCCUACUGUGCGAUCUACUAGGCUGGGGUUUCCCAAGGGGAGGGAAUAUCUCUCUCUCUCACACACACACUCCCAUCCUUUGAUACUAUGUAAACUGGACCAGACAAAGCAGUGCAGAGCCUGCUGUAGGCAACAGCCCUGACUCUCUUGAGAGAGUGAGAAAGAGCUGGGCUAAGGAUUAGAGAAGAAAAUUGUACCUGGGGAGCCCUGGAUUGUGGAUGGAUUGUGCAUAUGGGUCAGGGGCUGUCCUGCCUGACAAGGGGCCACCUGUGCACUGGGGAUUAUAUUUACUCACCUUGAAGGUACAAAGGCCCAUUUCGGUGCCAAAUGCUAUUAGUAAUCCCUCUAAUGGGACUUCUCUGGGUCCAACAUCUGCAAAUCCAUGACUUUUACAUGUGAUUUAAGAUUAGAUGUUUUUAAGGACUUUUUUUAGCAUCAAAUUUUAAACAAUACAGAAAACCUGACAGUCUGUGUCUGAAGGGGGCUGCCAAGCUGCUGCGCAGUGGGGCCUAACAAGUGGGGUGCCAGUGCCUCCUCAGGUUUGAACGUUGAAGGGCUCAUCAGGUUUGGGGGGUACCAUGCAGCUUAGUGUCUGUGAGCCUGAGUUCCUCCCUCAAUAGCCUGGUUUCAGGGACAACUGAGGGCCACCGGGGGAGUCAAUGGGAAUUGUAUUUACUCACCAUCCCUGAAAACCUGCACUGCAUGGACCCUCUGGUCCUUGUUUGAAGGAACACUGGGAAUGAUUCAUCACGUUUGUCCCCAGUUUCCCAUUCCUGCCCUUGUCCUGAACCCCACUUGGUUGCCAUGCUCCAGCCCAUUUUUUGGGGUGCUGUAUGAGUUUGUCUAAGGGUUUGUAAGAGUCAACACCGCCUACGGCUUUGUAGCUGUCACUGUGCUGUGUACCCUGGCUAUGUUGAACUUCAUGAUGACAGCAGUUCUGCUCCUCUUACUUCAAAAGCUCAAGCUGCUGCAGAGGGAACUCCCCAUUCAGUGUUAACAUUAUAGGGCAUGUGACAUACACAAGCAAGGUUACUGCAAUAU